AUACACUAAUCAAUACAGAUACAUAUAGUAAUGAUACAGAGAAGAUUAGCAUGGCCCCUACAGAAGAAUGACACCCAAAUUCAUAAAGCAUUCCAUAUUUUA